rnacentral:lncRNA from 1 species
GCCCCUAAUUCAUGUAAUUUCUAAACUCUGGACAAAAACUCUGGUCACAAACCCUGUGUUUGAGUUUCAUAGAUUUCUGUUAACUUAUACUAAAAGUAAUUAUGCGAAAACCUAAGUGUCUUCGGACUACGACGACUACAUGAUAAAAUUGAGAAUGGGAAUGGGGAAUGUGUCAAAGACCCCCCUUUUUUGGACUAUCAAUGCAUUUGAAUGGGGACAUGUAAUUACCCCCCCCCCUUUUUGUCCUGGGUUAGGAAACCCCUUUUUAAAAUGACUGGAUCCGCCCCUGAAGGGUCUAUCAUUAAGUUUGACAACUUCAGACAUACUACUUUACCAAAAAAAUUGACACAUUUCAUCCAAUUUAAUUUCAUUCUUUACUUGCUAUUUCAUCCAUAAUAUUUUAAAGAAAGAAAUUUGGAAGGAGUAUGAUUUUAAUUUGCAAGUUAUACACUAUCCAAACUAGAGACCUAAUAGAGUAGAUAUAUACUUGACUAAGGGAGCUACCAUUUGAUUUUUAGGGGGGGGGGGGGGCUAGGAUGAAAAAUUUUAUCCUGCAUUUUUUUUUUAGCUGUAAUCUCUGUCCUGCCUUUUUAUUUUUCACUCUGUUCGUUCCUGCCUUUCUUUUUUUAGUUUAUCCUGACUUUUUUUUUUUGCUAGUGUCUCAUCCUGCCUUUUUUUUCUUCUCAAAACUCCUGUUCUGCCUAUUUUUUUCAAAUUUCAUCCUAGCCCCCCCCCCCCCCAUAAAAAUCAAAUGGAAGCUCCCUAAUUUAAAUCAAACUUGGGGUGACUGGGGACAAAGAUUUAAGGGAAUAGAUGACAGUUUACCUACAAUGAUCUAGCUUCAUGGCAAUGGCAUACAUUACAGACUACAUGUACAUCAUGUACAUGGUCAUUCUUAAUUGUGUUUAAACUUUGGGAGUUCAUUUUUUUAAUGUUUAAAGCUAACAAUUUCAACUACAUACAUUUAUCAAGAUUUGAUUCUACAUUUAUAUAUAAUUGUGUAUGUCACAUGUAUGUACAUGAUGUAUUUUAAUGUAAAGCAUCUGAAAACUCAUUAGCCGUUUCAUAUUUAUUUCAGUUCUUCAAAAGGCAAAUUUAUAUGAGCCUAUGCCUGAAAACAGAGAUUUCUUAUUAAGGAGAAAGCCCGCCCCCCCUUUUUGGUGUGAAAUAUUUUGUUGAUUAUAUAGGGAAUCACUGAAGCAUGACUGGAGCAAGCAUCCCCCUCUGCCCCCC